GUGCCGUAUGAAAGGAGAGAAGGUUAGCGCUCCUCUUGAUAAGAGUGGAAGAAGUCCUAGUGACCUUCAGCACACAUAUGUUUAAGUCAUUGCCACCGACCAUCUCUACCUGAGAUUUU
rnacentral:ncRNA from 1 species